GUUUCUAAUCGACUUUACUUGUGUAUUUUAAGCUUUUUUGUUGCUGUGCUUUUUCUGGAGAUUUGAGUUGGAUUGGAAAGCUCCUGUGUAAGGUACCCUUUUCUAAAGAAAUAUAGAAGUAAUUUGUACAAUUAUAACGCGCCGAGCUGUGUUUUAUUUUAUUGUUUCUAAAAAGAUGUAUAUUAUCAAUUUUAAUUGGUUUUAUCCAAAUCAAGAUAAGGCUUAAUCACACGAAAGAUUGUGUACAAUGGGAGUGAGUGAUGUAAUCUUCCAAUGCGUGUAGUGAAAAGAAGGCGAAACCGUUAUUGUUUUUCUGCCCAAAAUUGAAGCUAUUUAAUAAAUCUUGAUAAAGUUAAAAAAACUGUUUUGAUUUGUUUGUUUUUGUUUUAAUUGUUUCCCAUGAGUUUUCGAAAUUCGUUCCAGCAGAUUCUGUGGCUUCUAGUGCCGGUAUUUUUACGUGAAAAAAAAUACUGUUUUGUUGUAAGGUCAUUUACGAAAUCGUUAACGUUAGGACCAACUUCUGCGGGUUGUACAACUCGAUGUAUUACAUAUCUUUCGGAAUACUGCUAAAAGUGUAAUUUUGUAUUGCGCUCUUUACUUUUAUCAUUCUGUGGGAAAAGGCGGUACAAAAUUUUAACACGCGUUAUUCGUUUUUGUUAGUUUCGCGUAAUCUAAUUUUCUCGCACAUUUUGAAAAGAAUAUCCCACGCACAUCAAAUAC